CAACUCCGCAGGCUGGCGGGCCUCACCUGGGCUGGGCCAGUAUCUCUUGGAAAGGCUCACCCUCAAGCAAGACUAGGAGC
rnacentral:pre_miRNA from 1 species